CUACAAAGUAGAGGUCGCACGAUUCAAGAGUAACUGUACGGAUGUCCCCAAGCAUAUGAUGUGCAGCGAAAGGGGAAAGUGCCGAAGCAUAUAAUUCAGGGAAGUUAUAUGCUGGGCAUAAGGUUAAUAAUCUUAUGACUGUCAUUAUGGGCAUUGAUGCCUUAUGAUGGAGGGCUACGCGAAGA
rfam:Eubacterium sp. CAG:76 genomic scaffold, scf47